GGGUAAGUCCUGUACGACCAGCUCCCGCUGAAUUCCCCCAGGGUUGGAAAGCAGCAAGGGUAGGUGGUUGAGCGGUGCGAUACAGAUCGCUUACCCACU
rnacentral:SRP_RNA from 1 species